rnacentral:rRNA from 1 species
GGGUGUUUGGGAGUUA